rnacentral:rRNA from 1 species
AACGAACGCUGGCGGCAUGCCUAACACAUGCAAGUCGAACGAGACCUUCGGGUCUAGUGGCGCACGGGUGCGUAACGCGUGGGAACCCGCCUUUAGGUUCGGAAUAACUCAGAGAAAUUUGAGCUAAUACCGGAUUAUGUCUUCGGACCAAAGAUUUAUCGCCUUUAGAUGGGCCCGCGUUGGAUUAGCUAGUUGGUGGGGUAAAGGCCUACCAAGGCGACGAUCCAUAGCUGGUCUGAGAGGAUGAUCAGCCACACUGGGACUGAGACACGGCCCAGACUCCUACGGGAGGCAGCAGUGGGGAAUAUUGGACAAUGGGCGAAAGCCUGAUCCAGCAAUGCCGCGUGAGUGAUGAAGGCCUUAGGGUUGUAAAGCUCUUUUACCCGAGAUGAUAAUGACAGUAUCGGGAGAAUAAGCUCCGGCUAACUCCGUG